rnacentral:rRNA from 1 species
AGCAGCCGCGGUAAUUCCAGCUCCAAUAGCGUAUAUUAAAGUUGUUGCAGUUAAAAAGCUCGUAGUUGAAUUUUGGGUCUGGCCGGGCGGUCCGCCCUCUGGGUGAGCACUGUUCCGACGCCGGGCCUAUCCUUCUGGUGAGUCGGCAUGUCCUUUAUUGGGUGUGCCGGGGAACCAGGACCAUUACCUUGAAAAAAUUAGAGUGUUCAAAGCAGGCGUAUGCUCGGAUACAUUAGCAUGGAAUAAUGAAAUAGGACGCGUGGUGCUAUUUUGUUGGUUUCUAGAACCGCCGUAAUGAUUAAUAGGGAUAGUUGGGGGCAUUAGUAUUCAAUUGUCAGAGGUGAAAUUCUUGGAUUUAUUGAAGACUAACUUCUGCGAAAGCAUUUGCCAAGGAUGUUUUCAUUAAUCAAGAACGAAAGUUAGGGGAAUCGAGGACGAAUCAGAUACCGUCGUAGUCUUAACCAUAAACUAUGCCGACU